rnacentral:rRNA from 1 species
UCAUAAGGACAAGGCGUGAUGAGGAGCGAAAUUAAAGUAGCGAAGGCUGCGACGUCACACUGCCGAGAAAAGCUUCUAGCCAGAGACGGUGCACCCGUACCGCAAACCGACACAGGUAGUCGAGGAGAGUAUCCUCAGGUGAGCGAGAGAACUCUCGUUAAGGAACUCGGCAAAAUGGCCCCGUAACUUCGGGAGAAGGGGCGCUGGUCGCAAGAUCAGCCGCAGUGAAAAGGCCCAAGCAACUGUUUAUCAAAAACACAGGCAUCUGCAAAAUCGUAAGAUGAAGUAUAGGUGCUGACACCUGCCCGGUGCUGGAAGGUUAAGAGGAGAGCUUAGCGCAAGCGAAGGUUUGAAUUGAAGCCCCAGUAAACGGCGGCCGUAACUAUAACGGUCCUAAGGUAGCGAAAUUCCUUGUCGGGUAAGUUCCGACCUGCACGAAAGGUGUAAUGAUUUGG